ACGGCCACACCUAGGCGAAAACACCAGUUCCCGUCCGAUCACUGCAGUUAAGCGUUUGAGGGUCUCGUUAGUACUAUGGUUGGAGACAACAUGGGAAUCCGGGAUGCUGUAGGCU
rnacentral:rRNA from 1 species